rnacentral:rRNA from 1 species
GUGGCGCAGUUAACGCGAUAAGUCGACCGCCUGGGGAGUACGGCCGCAAGGUUAAAACUCAAAUGAAUUGACGGGGGCCCGCACAAGCGGUGGAGCAUGUGGUUUAAUUCGAUGCAACGCGAAGAACCUUACCUACCCUUGACAUCCAGAGAAGUUGGCAGAGAUGCCUUUGUGCCUUCGGGAACUCUGAGACAGGUGCUGCAUGGCUGUCGUCAGCUCGUGUUGUGAAAUGUUGGGUUAAGUCCCGUAACGAGCGCAACCCUUGUCCUUAUUUGCCAGCGAGUAAUGUCGGGAACUCUAAGGAGACUGCCGGUGACAAACCGGAGGAAGGUGGGGACGACGUCAAGUCAUCAUGGCCCUUACGGGUAGGGCUACACACGUGCUACAAUGGCCGGUACAAAGGGUUGCGAGACCGCGAGGUGGAGCGAAUCCCAGAAAGCCGGCCUCAGUCCGGAUCGGAGUCUGCAACUCGACUCCGUGAAGUCGGAAUCGCUAGUAAUCGUGAAUCAGAAUGUCACGGUGAAUACGUUCCCGGGCCUUGUACACACCGCCCGUCACACCAUGGGAGUGGACUGCACCAGAAGUGGUUAGCUUAACCUUCGGGAGAGCGAUCACCACGGUGUGGUUCAUGACUGGGGUGAAGUCGUAACAAGGUAGCCGUAGGGGAACCUGCGGCUGGAC